UACGUAGGGCGCAAGCGUUGUCCGGAAUUAUUGGGCGUAAAGAGCUCGUAGGCGGUUUGUCGCGUCUGUCGUGAAAGCUUGGGGCUUAACCCCAAGUCUGCGGUGGAUACGGGCAGACUAGAGGCAGGUAGGGGAGAACGGAAUUCCCGGUGUAGCGGUGAAAUGCGCAGAUAUCGGGAGGAACACCGGUGGCGAAGGCGGUUCUCUGGGCCAUUACUGACGCUGAGGAGCGAAAGCGUGGGGAGCGAACAGG
rnacentral:rRNA from 1 species